GACGAACGCUGGCGGCGUGCUUAACACAUGCAAGUCGAGCGGUAAGGCCCUUUCGGGGGUACACGAGCGGCGAACGGGUGAGUAACACGUGGGUGACCUGCCCUCAGCUCUGGGAUAAGCCUGGGAAACCGGGUCUAAUACCGGAUAUGACUCCACGGCGCAUGUUGGUGGGGUGGAAAGCCUUGUGUGGCUAGAGAUGGGCCCGCGGCCUAUCAGCUUGUUGGU
rnacentral:rRNA from 1 species